AGAGUUUGAUCCUGGCUCAGAACGAACGCUGGCGGCGGGCCUAACACAUGCAAGUCGAACGCGAAAGUAGGUUCGCCUAUGAGUAGAGUCGGCGCACGGGUGAGUAAUGGUUAGGUAACGUACCUCUUCGCUGUGGAUAACCAGGGAAACCUUGGCUAAUACAGAAUAGUUCGAACUAGACUGCGGUCAUGUUCGAUAAAGCCGUAAGGCGCGGAGAGAGCGGCUUAACUCCUAUCAGCUUGUUGGUAGUGUAAAAGACUACCAAGGCUACGACGGGUAGCUGGUCUGAGAGGAUGAUCAGCCACACUGGAACUGGAACACGGUCCAGACUCCUACGGGAGGCAGCAGUUAGGAAUUUUGCGCAAUGGGCGAAAGCCUGACGCAGCAACGCCGCGUGAGGGAGGAAGGCCUUCGGGUUGUAAACCUCUUUCGGUUGGAAAGAAAAAAAUGACGGUACCAACAGAAGAAGCACCGGCUAGCUACGUGCCAGCAGCCGCGGUAAUACGUAGGGUGCAAGCGUUAUUCGGAUUCACUGGGCGUAAAGCGCAUGUAGGCGGUUUGCCAAGUCUGAUGUGAAAUCCCUGGACUCAAUUCAGGAACUGCAUCGGAUACUGGUUUACUCGAGUAUAGGAGGGGAGAGCGGAAUUUCUGGUGUAGAGGUGAAAUUCGUAGAUAUCAGAAGGAACAACGGUGGCGAAAGCGGCUCUCUGGACUAUAACUGACGCUGAGAUGCGAAAGCGUGGGGAGCAAACAGGAUUAGAUACCCCUGGUAGUCCACGCUGUAAACSAUGGGCACUAGAUGUCGGACCUUCUUACCCGGUUCGGUGUCGUAGCUAACGCGUUAAGUGCCCCGCGCUGGGGAGUACGGCCGCAAGGCUAAAACUCAAAGGAAUUGACGG
rnacentral:rRNA from 1 species